GUGCCAGCCGCCGCGGUAAUACGGAGGGUGCAAGCGUUGUCCGGAAUCAUUGGGUGUAAAGGGUGCGUAGGCGGACUAUUAAGUCCGGGGUGAAAUCUUGCCGCUUAACGGCAAAAGUGCCUUGGAUACUGGUAGUCUUGAGUGUGAUAAAGGUCGGUGGAAUUCGUAGUGUAGCGGUGAAAUGCAUAGAUAUUACGAAGAACACCAGUGGUGAAAACGGCCGGCUAGAUCACAACUGACGCUCAGGCACGAGAGCGUGGGGAGCGAACAGGAUUAGAAACCCCAGUAGUCC
rnacentral:rRNA from 1 species